GUCUGGUCAACCUGAUAGAAUUGUCUGCUCAUUCCCAGCGGCAGACACAGUUCCCAUCUGUUCCCAGGUGAAGACAGCGGGACAUGGGUCCUGGCCACCAGAAGACCUAGGAAAAAUUACACACCAAUGUGACCCAUUCACUGACCUGAUAAUGCUCAUCCUAGCAAUGAGAAAAAUAGCAGAGUGGACACUGACACUGGAGAAGUGCCUGAGAUGUUCCAGGUCAGGAACGCAGAGGAGAAGGACGGGAUCUCUACCACAACCAUGUCCAUGUUCAGAUUUAUUCCUACACUGCUUAAGACAAGGACGUGAAGGGCCCAGGAGCCUGAGGCCAGCAGUUCUUCAGUGGGCAUUUUUCCUGGCCCAACCAGUAAACCUCAGUGCCUGGAAAACAGCACAUCUGUGACCCUGUGACCAGCCCAACACAGAGAGUUUAAUAGGUACAGAAAGCCACUUUCCGGCUCCAGAUAAUGCAAUCAGCCAGGUGGGCAUGUGCAGAGUUCGGGGGCUGAGGUAAACUUGAGUGUCAGCUGCCCCCACCUCUGUGUUCUGCAUUGAGAGGGUGGGAGUGCAUGGGAUGCCCUCCACAGCUGUAGGGCAGGAGGAGCAGCCCUCUCCUCCACUCACCGGGUGAGGCCCCCUUCCUAACCAUCCUGCAGCCUAUUCCUAGGCUUUGACAUCUUUCCCUCCCAGGAUGCUUCCUCAUGAUAGCAAAGGACUGCACCCUUUCCCUCACAAACCAACUAAUCAUGUAUUCACCCUUGCAUCCUCAUCUUUGGGGAGCUCUUGCAUUCAGGGGCACUGGGCCUGCACUCAGUGUCCCUGGACCAGGAUGCAGAAAGCCAGAGACAGCCUUCCACCAAGGAGCCCAAGGAAUCCAGAGAGCCAGUCAAUCUCCCAGUGCUAAUCUGCUUCUUGCCUGGCCAUCACCUCCCAUAGCACCUGGGGGAGAGAGGGCUGGGACCCGAGCCCUGCUUCUUUAUCUCACCACUUCCUGGUGCUCCCCUGAGGUCCCUGUGGAGACAGGGCCCUCCCUGCAGGAAGAGUGUGUCGCAGAGUCUGCUCUAGGGCAGUUGACUGCUGGUCUCCCAGUCUCUGAGCAAUAAUGGAACAUAGAUUUUAGAUCACCUUUUGAUUAGAAACCUUGAAGUAGCUGAAAUGGUCCUAUAGUUGUUUACUUACUUUAUAUGAUAUAAAAGAAAGACUUACUGUACUCUGGGGAAGCAGCUACAUAACCGCAGUGAUGAGGGCUGAUGUUUCCUCUGCCUUUGACUCGAGGUCAGGAAUUCAGGCGUGAUGCAUUCAUUGUCCAUCAGACCUGCUGCCAGGGUGCUGACCAGUGAGGCAUCAGCCAGUACCUGCAGCCUUUGGGUGAGCUCCCACCUUCAGAAAAGAAGUUACCUUGGAGACCAGCUUAACAGGAAGGAAUUCCAGAACUAAGGAGGAUCCGUGAUUCUUUCACUUGCCUGAGAGGGAGCUCAGGAGCCUCCAGCUAACAUGGAACAGUGCCUCAAAUAGCUCCAUAGGUUUUUGGGAAACUCCAGAAAGAAUUAUGUGUUCACUGACCUAAUAAUGCUCAUUCUAACAAUGAAAAAAUGUAUCUGUCUCAAGGAAUUUCCAUUAGGGAGCAUGUGGCAUAGGAUACUGUGACAAAUUUAUGUUUCAUUUAAGGAGAAAAUACAUUAUAGUGUUGAUUCAAGAAUGAAGCAUUUCUCUCUGGAUCCAUCGAAGAUCAGUUGGUUCCUGGAAGAUACAACCAAUCCAGCCUAGUUCCUGAAUCUCAGGAUGAGCAUGAGCACAUUUCUUCAGAAACUUCAGCUCCACAAUUCCAUCAGUAAAUGACUUCUGCUUUGCCUGUCAGCCCCAAAAUUACAGGUUUCAGAACAGCUCUUAUUUUUGCAAUGAUUUCCAACAACUAUGCUGUUACUCUAGCUUGUCUUUCUGAGUCAAGUUGAGUUAAAAGAGUAUUUAUCCAAAGCAUCAGUAGAGCAGGAACACAAUGAAAUCAGAGCAAAUGCUUAAAUCCCUGCCCAGUCAUCUCUAGGGUAGCAUUUUAGACUGGAGUUUCUCAGUUGAAGAUUUUGCACAACCUCAGAGAUUUGCUGACCACUUUCUUUCAUAGAGACAGUGCUUGGGUGUCCUCCAGGUGGCUAUGCAUAUAUCGUUGGGCCUGUUCCACACUUGUAUUUUGUUGGGUUUGUUUUCCUACUUCUCAAAGAGGAUCUGAAUAGAAUCCAUCUAAUCAGCAAAGGCAGGAGACCAUUUCAGGUAGGAAAAGGUGAAAAUGGGAUUUUAAAAGAAAAAUUGAAAUGCUCCUUGAAAGCACUGCUUUCUAUAGCCCCAGGGGCAAUGCAAGCUGGAGGAAAUGAUCCCUGCUGCUGUGGGGUGCCCUGCAGAAGCCGCUUCCCUUCGCCUCCUGGCUGCGCCUCUGAUAGAAAAACAGUAUUGAGUCCUGAUGUGGGGUUGGGGGGUGGCUCCUGGGUCCUCAUGGAAACUGAGGCUAUGCAGCUUUCUUUCUGACACUGUGCCCCAUGCUGCAGGUGCCCCAUGCUGGGGGCCAUGAUGAUAGUUGUCAAGGCCUGGGAUUGUCUUGCUCAUCUCUAAGCAGGCAGUGAGGUUCUGGGAGAUGAGCUGUGAUUGGAUGAAGCCCUUCUGUCAGUGCCGUUCCCUUUCCUAAUGAUUGGUCCUGCAGUGACAUGUGACCUGUUGCUUCACAAUGCUGCAUGAGAGAAAGACAGCAGAAGGACCUCCAGAGCAGCUACCCUGUCCCAUGGAUGGAUGUGGGAGGAGAGCACCUCCACAGGAUUCCUUUCCGGGGUCCCUCAUCAUAAUUCCAGGACCUUGCAAUGUCCCAGCAUGGGGGAUGUGGGGGCUCUCAAAGGCAUCUCUUGCUCCUCAUUAAGGAAGACAGACGAGGUGCGUUGUGAGGAAGAGGGCCGUGUGGACUGCCUGGAGCUUCCUAGUUGACGCUGGGAAGAAAGAAACAGAGAGAAGAAAUGCAGCUGGCGCGGGCGGGAGCAGGAGUCCUGAUGUGUGCUCCAGUCCGGAGCCCAUUAAUCUCUUUGUGAAUUAUUUAUAUCUUGGUCUAACUUUGCGGCUCAUUUCAGAUGUUUGCUUAAUUUUCUGGGUGAAGAGAAAAUAAAACACCUCCUGGGAGAAUCGCAGAGUUGGCUCGGAAGUCCUGACUGUCUGUUUAGGGGUCCUCAUUGGCAGUCGGGUGCACAGAUUUAAAUAUUUAUGAAAAUGUUAAUAAAAAAAAUUCUUUGCUUGCUACUCAGAGCAUAUAGUAGGACCAGAGCUGUGGCAUAGAUUUUCCUUUGACUUUAGCCACCUGGAAGCAAUAUUUGAUUUUCUGUUGGCUCCCUGGACCAAGAGGCACAAUUCAGGGCAGGAACAGUAAUUGCUUUCUUGACUCUAGUCUU